rnacentral:rRNA from 1 species
GAUGAACGCUGGCGGCGUGCCUAAUACAUGCAAGUCGAGCGAACGGACGAGAAGCUUGCUUCUCUGAUGUUAGCGGCGGACGGGUGAGUAACACGUGGAUAACCUACCUAUAAGACUGGGAUAACUUCGGGAAACCGGAGCUAAUCCCGGAUAAUAUUUUGAACCGCAUGGUUCAAAAGUGAAAGACGGUCUUGCUGUCACUUAUCGAUGGAUCCGCGCUGCAUUAGCUAGUUGGUAAGUUAACGGCUUACCAAGGCAACGAUGCAUAGCCGACCUGAGAGGGUGAUAGGCCACACGGGAACUGAGACACGGUCCAGACUCCUACGGGAGGCAGCAGUAGGGAAUCUUCCGCAGUGGGCGAAAGCCUGACGGAGCAGCGCCGCGUGAGUGAUGAAAGUCUUCGGAUCGUAAAACUCUGUUAUUAGGGAAGAACAUAUGUGUAAGUAACUGUGCACAUCGUGACGGUACCUAAUCAGAAAGCCACGGCUAACUACGUG